rnacentral:rRNA from 1 species
AGAGUUUGAUCCUGGCUCAGGAUGAACGCUGGCGGCGUGCCUAACACAUGCAAGUUGAGCGAUUUACUUCGGUAAAGAGCGGCGGACGGGUGAGUAACGCGUGGGUAACCUACCCUGUACACACGGAUAACAUACCGAAAGGUAUGCUAAUACGGGAUAAUAUAUUUGAGAGGCAUCUCUUGAAUAUCAAAGGUGAGCCAGUACAGGAUGGACCCGCGUCUGAUUAGCUAGUUGGUAAGGUAACGGCUUACCAAGGCGACGAUCAGUAGCCGACCUGAGAGGGUGAUCGGCCACAUUGGAACUGAGACACGGUCCAAACUCCUACGGGAGGCAGCAGUGGGGAAUAUUGCACAAUGGGCGAAAGCCUGAUGCAGCAACGCCGCGUGAGCGAUGAAGGCCUUCGGGUCGUAAAGCUCUGUCCUCAAGGAAGAUAAUGACGGUACUUGAGGAGGAAGCCCCGGCUAACUACGUGCCAGCAGCCGCGGUAAUACGUAGGGGGCUAGCGUUAUCCGGAUUUACUGGGCGUAAAGGGUGCGUAGGCGGUCUUUCAAGUCAGGAGUGAAAGGCUACGGCUCAACCGUAGUAAGCUCUUGAAACUGGGAGACUUGAGUGCAGGAGAGGAGAGUGGAAUUCCUAGUGUAGCGGUGAAAUGCGUAGAUAUUAGGAGGAACACCAGUUGCGAAGGCGGCUCUCUGGACUGUAACUGACGCUGAGGCACGAAAGCGUGGGGAGCAAACAGGAUUAGAUACCCUGGUAGUCCACGC